UUAACAUGUUUCAAGAUUACGGCACAUGGCCUUCUCAGACUGUAAGUUAAUGUAAAGUUUGAUAAUUGGGCCUUCCCCAGGCACCUCAACCAGGUCACCGAGUAGUAGCCUGGCUGGCAGCAGUGGCCACUGGCCUGGGGAAGCAACAUGGAAGGAUACGCAUGAAUGUGUUUUAUCGGGAGCCUGUGUCUUUUGCAUCCCAGAUAUUGGUAAUGAUCCUUCCGCAGGUUCACCUACGGAAA
rnacentral:misc_RNA from 1 species